rnacentral:rRNA from 1 species
UGUAAGCGUAUACCAAAGUUGUUGCAGUUAAAACGCUCGUAGUCGGAAUUUGGCAGUUCCGGAUGUGUGCACGUCGUGUGCGCACUUCGCGGGGAUUGCUUUUGUGGUCUUGCGUAGGAUGAGGCACUUUUAUUAGUGAACGUCCUCACGCAACCACUUUUUACUGUGAGAAAAUCAGAGUGCUCAAAGCAGGCAUUUGUCGUGAAUGUAUUAGCAUGGAAUAAUAGAAUAGGACUUGGUUCUAUUUUGUUGGUUUGUUGGGACUGAGUAAUGAUUAAGAGGGACAGUUGGGGGCAUUUGUAUUUCGGUGCUAGAGGUGAAAUUCUUAGAUUACCGAAAGACAAACUGCUGCGAAAGCGUCUGCCAAGGAUGUUUUCAUUGA